GCAGUUGUGGAAUCUGUAGUACUAGC
rnacentral:piRNA from 1 species